rnacentral:rRNA from 1 species
GACGAACGCUGGCGGCGUGCUUAACACAUGCAAGUCGAACGGAAAGGCCCUGCUUUUGUGGGGUGCUCGAGUGGCGAACGGGUGAGUAACACGUGAGUAACCUGCCCUUGACUUUGGGAUAACUUCAGGAAACUGGGGAUAAUACCGGAUAGGAGCUCCUGCUGCAUGGGGGGGGUUGGAAAGUUUCGGCGGUUGGGGAUGGACUCGCGGCUUAUCAGCUUGUUGGUGGGGUAGUGGCUUACCAAGGCUUUGACGGGUGGCCGGCCUGAGAGGGUGACCGGCCACAUUGGGACUGGGAUACGGCCCAGACUCCUACGGGGGGCAGCAGGGGGGAAUAUGGCACAAUGGGCGGAAGCCUGAUGCAGCAACGCCGCGUGCGGGAUGACGGCCUUCGGUUUGUAAACCGCUUUCGCCUGUGACGAAGCGUGAGUGACGGUAAUGGGUAAAGAAGCACCGGCUAACUACGUG